GGCAACAGCUCAAAUUUGAAAUCUGGCCCCCUCGGGGCCCGAGUUGUAAUUUGGAGAAGAUGCUUCGGGUGUGGCCCCGGUCUAAGUUCCUUGGAACAGGACGCCAUAGAGGGUGAGAGCCCCGUCUGGUCGGAUACCGCGUCUCUGUAAAGCUCCUUCGAC
rnacentral:rRNA from 1 species